UCCCUGGUGGUCUAGUGGUUAGGAUGCAGCACUCUCACCGCCGCAGCCCGGGGUUCAAUUCCCGGUCAGGGAA
rnacentral:tRNA from 1 species